CGAACGCUGGCGGCGCGUCUUAAGCAUGCAAGUCGAGCGGCAAGAGGUAGCAAUACCUCCUAGAGUGGCGGACUGGUGAGUAACACGUGGGUGACAUACCCUUCAGAUGGGGAUAGCUAUUAGAAAUAGUAGAUAAUACCGAAUACGAGCACAGGGGUUAGAGAUCUGUGAGGAAAGGAGCUAAGGCUCCGCUGAAGGAAUGGCCUGCGGCCCAUUAGCUAGUUGGUGAGGUAAGAGCCCACCAAGGCGAUGAUGGGUAUCCGGCCUUAGAGGGUGAACGGACACAUUGGGACUGAGAUACGGCCCAGACUCCUACGGGAGGCAGCAGCUAAGAAUAUUCCGCAAUGGACGAAAGUCUGACGGAGCGACGCCGCGUGGAUGAAGAAGGCCGGAAGGUUGUAAAAUCCUUUUGAAACUGAAGAAUAAGCGUUGUAGGGAAUGACAGCGUGGUGACAGUAGGUUUUGAAUAAGCAACGGCUAAUUACGUGCCAGCCGCUGC
rnacentral:rRNA from 1 species